AUUGAACGCUGGCGGAAUGCUUUACACAUGCAAGUCGAGCGGCAGCGCGGGGCAACCUGGCGGCGAGCGGCGAACGGGUGAGUAAUGCAUCGGAGCAUGUCCAGUCGUGGGGGAUAGCCCGCCGAAAGGCGGAUUAAUACCGCAUACGCCCGGGAGGGGAAAGCGGGGGACCUGCAAGGGCCUCGCGCGAUUGGGUUGGCCGAUGUCCGAUUAGCUAGUUGGUGGGGUAAAGGCCCACCAAGGCGAUGCUCGGUAGCUGGUCUGAGAGGAUGAUCAGCCACACUGGGACUGAGACACGGCCCAGACUCCUACGGGAGGCAGCAGUGGGGAAUUUUGGACAAUGGGGGCAACCCUGAUCCAGCCAUUCCGCGUGAGUGAAGAAGGCCUUCGGGUUGUAAAGCUCUUUUGUCCGGAGCGAAACGGUUGUGGUGAAUAUCCACGACUACUGACGGUACCGGAAGAAUAAGCACCGGCUAACUACGUGCCAGCAGCCGCCGCCG
rnacentral:rRNA from 1 species